AGAACGAACGCUGGCGGCAUGCCUAACACAUGCAAGUCGAACGAGACCUUCGGGUCUAGUGGCGCACGGGUGCGUAACGCGUGGGAAUCUGCCCUUAGGUACGGAAUAACAGUGAGAAAUUACUGCUAAUACCGUAUGAUGUCUUCGGACCAAAGAUUUAUCGCCUAGGGAUGAGCCCGCGUAGGAUUAGCUAGUUGGUGGGGUAAAGGCCUACCAAGGCGACGAUCCUUAGCUGGUCUGAGAGGAUGAUCAGCCACACUGGGACUGAGACACGGCCCAGACUCCUACGGGAGGCAGCAGUGGGAAUAUUGGACAAUGGGCGAAAGCCUGAUCCAGCAAUGCCGCGUGAGUGAAGAAGGCCUUCGGGUUGUAAAGCUCUUUUACCCGGGAAGAUAAUGACUGUACCGGGAGAAUAAGCCCGGCUAACUCCGCGCCAGCAGCCGC
rnacentral:rRNA from 1 species